rfam:Soonwooa buanensis strain DSM 22323 genome assembly, contig: LY62DRAFT_scaffold00006.6
ACAAUGGAGAGUUUGAUCCUGGCUCAGGAUGAACGCUAGCGGGAGGCCUAACACAUGCAAGCUGAGCGGUAGAUUUUCUUCGGAAGAUUGAGAGCGGCGUACGGGUGCGUAACACGUGUGCAACCUGCCCUUAUCAAGAG